rnacentral:lncRNA from 1 species
GAUGGAUUAAUUAAUGCUGCAGUCAAGAAUAUUUAUUUAUUUAUUUAUUUAUUGUGUAAAGUAGAUGGCAAAGGAAUUAAUGGGAUUAGACAUAAUGUGAAGUAAAUGCUAUUAUGUAAGGAAGGGUUUAGACUUUGCGUAAGGCUUAAUGGAUGGAUUAAUUCAGUCGGAUGGCGAAGAUUAUUAUUAUUAUUAUUUUUUGAGAGGGGGG